ACCAAACCUAGCGAAAACUAAAAAAGUUAACAAGCAACAUUGGUAUAUCAUUUUUUUUUUUUGCGUUUGUUUUUGUCGCCAUUUCUCUUUUUUUUUUUCUUGGUCGGCAUGUGCGCCACGUGUGUGUCGUGAGCUCUAAGCACGUGAGUGUGUGCUGUCAUCUGCUGCUGCGCGAUAAGGAACAUAUUGUCAAGAGCGUACAAGACGAAAAGCGGGAUGUAUCUAUAUACCGUCCGUGCAUUGGCUGACGCGGAGGUAUGCUACCGACUCGGCUGCGUGGACGCGGGCACGAAGAAAGGAACGCCGACUGACCAACGAUACUUUGACUGCGCAUGUGUGCCACUCAAGUGCAACAGUUCACGAGGCAUCCCAGGCCCCGAAAGAAGUUGGAAGAAGAUGCAAGCGCAGCAUGCCAAUGUUGUUGAAUAUGCCAGCACGAAGUUUCCAGGCGCAAGUGUUUCUUAUAUAAAAGCCUAUUCUCUCCCCUCACAAGGGAAAUAAAAUCACUAU